rnacentral:rRNA from 1 species
GUAAGGAAUAUUGCACAAUGGACGCAAGUCUGAUGCAGCAACGCCGCGUGCCCGAGGAAGGCCUUCGGGUUGUAAAGGGCUUUUCUGGCUGAAGAGGAAGGACAGUAGGCCAGGAAUAAGCGUCGGCUAACUACGUGCCAGCAGCCGCGGUAAAACGUAGGACGCGAGCGUUAUCCGGAUUUACUGGGCGUAAAGAGCGGGCAGGCGGUGGCCAAAGUCGGACGUGAAAGCUCCCGGCUCAACUGGGAGAGGCCGUUCGAAACUAGGUCACUAGAGGGCAGUAGAGGGGCGUGGAAUUCCGGGUGGAGUGGUGAAAUGCGUAGAGAUCCGGAGGAACACCAGAGGCGAAGGCGGCGCCCUGGGCUGCACCUGACGCUGAGCCGCGAAAGCUAGGGGAGCGAACGGGAUUAGAAACCCUUGUAGUCC